rnacentral:rRNA from 1 species
ACGGGUGAGUAACACGUGGGCAAUCUGCCUGUCAGACUGGAAUAACGCCUGGAAACGGGUGCUAAUGCCGGAUAGACAACCGAGGGGCAUCCCUCGGAUGGGAAAGAUGCAAUUGCAUCACUGACAGAGGAGCCCGCGGCGCAUUAGCUAGUUGGUGGGGUAAUGGCCUACCAAGGCGACGAUGCGUAGCCGACCUGAGAGGGUGACCGGCCACACUGGGACUGAGACACGGCCCAGACUCCUACGGGAGGCAGCAGUAGGGAAUCUUCGGCAAUGGGCGAAAGCCUGACCGAGCAACGCCGCGUGAGCGAAGAAGGCCUUCGGGUUGUAAAGCUCAGUCACUCGGGAAGAGCGAUCAAGGGAGUGGAAAGCCCUUGAAGAGACGGUACCGAGAGAGGAAGCCCCGGCUAACUACGUGCCAGCAGCCGCGGUAAUACGUAGGGGGCAAGCGUUGUCCGGAAUCACUGGGCGUAAAGCGUGCGUAGGCGGUUUGUUAAGUCUGGAGUGAAAGUCCAGGGCUCAACCCUGGGAUUGCUUUGGAAACUGGCAGACUUGAGUGCUGGAGAGGCAAGGGGAAUUCCACGUGUAGCGGUGAA